rnacentral:rRNA from 1 species
GAUGAACGCUAGCGGCAGGCUUAAUACAUGCAAGUCGAGGGGCAGCACGAAUAGCAAUAUUUGGUGGCGACCGGCGCACGGGUGCGUAACACGUAUACAACCUACCUAUAACAGGGGGAUAGCCUUUCGAAAGAGAGAUUAAUACCCCGUAAUAAAUUGAAUGGCAUCAUUUGAUUUUGAAAGCUACGGCGGUUAUAGAUGGGUAUGCGUCUGAUUAGCUAGUUGGUGAGGUAAUGGCUCACCAAGGCGACGAUCAGUAGGGGAUCUGAGAGGACUAACCCCCACACUGGUACUGAGACACGGACCAGACUCCUACGGGAGGCAGCAGUAAGGAAUAUUGGUCAAUGGAGGCAACUCUGAACCAGCCAUGCCGCGUGCAGGAUGACGGCCCUAUGGGUUGUAAACUGCUUUUGUACCAGAGAAAACCUAUCUACGUGUAGAUAGCUGAUAGUAUGGUAAGAAUAAGCAUCGGCUAACUUCGUGCCAG